UACGUAGGGAGCAAGCGUUGUCCGGAAUCAUUGGGCGUAAAGCGCGUGUAGGCGGUUACAUAAGUCUGUUGUGAAAGUCGGAGGCUCAACCUUCGAAAGCCGAUGGAUACUGUGUGACUUGAGUACGGAAGAGGCGAGUGGAAUUCCUGGUGUAGCGGUGAAAUGCGCAGAUAUCAGGAGGAACACCAAUUGCGAAGGCAGCUCGCUGGGACGUUACUGACGCUGAGACGCGAAAGCGUGGGGAGCGAACAGG
rnacentral:rRNA from 1 species